AUGGGUGCUUCUGUCCAUUUGUUUGUUGAUGUUGCUGUAAGAGACCUGGUUGCUAUCCUUGCUUCUCCAUCUGCUGUUUUUACUGCUAGUGCUACUGCUACUGCUGUUGCUACCACUAACCCCGCCAGAAUAAGGGCUCCUAUGCCUGCUGCUAAUCUCUUCUUCUUCUGCAUCUUUCUGACUUCAGCAGUGAUCUCUUCAAACUCUCCUGCAAUCUGUCUCAUCCUGUGUUCUCUGCUGUCAAACUCUCUGAUGAAGGAAGCUGAAUAAUCUUUAGGUUUGUCCAUUAACUCAGACAGAUGUGGUGGGAGGUCUUUACUCCUUCUUCUUCGUGGUCUUUGAUCCAUCUUUAGGUCUCCUGGUCCUCCUGACGUGUUGAGAUCUCCUCUUCAGAGAGAUGGAGAAGCUGAUUUUAUAUCAGACUGGGAUCCGAUG